rnacentral:lncRNA from 1 species
UACUAUUGACUUUCUGACGAUUAGGAGGACCAUCUGCUUCAGGUGAACCUGGAUCAUCGAACCAUAAUUGAUGGCAGUGACUGAAUGUCAGGAGCAGAUGCUAUUGAUGACUAAUGGGGCAGUUCCAAUCCUGGUCAUGAAUCUGCAUUAUGGAUCUUCACAAAUUGAAGAAACCCUCAAGGGGCCACGCCGGGAAAGGCAAGUUGAAAGAGAAGGACAUCCCUGACUACUUAAU